rnacentral:misc_RNA from 1 species
GAAGUCGUUACUCCAACCCUUGUGGAGGAGGACGUCGAAGGUGGGGCUGAUGACUGGGGUGAAGUCGUAACAAGGUAGCCGUACCGGAAGGUGCGGCUGGAUCACCUCCUAACAGGGAGACAACAAAAUGUAAAUGUUAAUUUUGUCACCUUAGGUCGAUCGGUAUCUCAGAUUCUUAUUAUUUAAGAAUUUCAGUUUCUAAGUUUUUUCUAGGUCACACCCAUCACUUUUUCCUGGGCCAUUAGCUCAGGUGGUUAGAGCGCACCCCUGAUAAGGGUGAGGUCCCUGGUUCAAGUCCAGGAUGGCCCAUAUCUCUAUGUUGGGGGUAUAGCUCAGUUGGUAGAGCGCCUGCUUUGCAAGCAGGAUGUCAGCGGUUCGAGUCCGCUUACCUCCGCUGAAUACCACCUCUUACAUAUAGUUGAAGUGGGAAAUUGUUCUGAGUCGUGUCCUAAUUUGCUCUGAGCGAAUCUAGCUUCCUAUUUUAUCCAAGAAAUAAGAUGCUGGACUCAUCGAAUUUUUUUCAUUGUUUUCAGAGAACCUUGACAACUGCAUAGAUUAUUUUUGAAGACAAUAAGCAUCUUUAAUGAUGCAGAUUUAUUAUUUGUGCGAAUGCAUUAAAUAACAAUUCUAUUAAGCUGAUGCUUCAAUUAUUGAAGUUAUUGGUCAAGCUACAAAGGGCUCACGGAGGAUACCUAGGCACACAGAGGCGAUGAA